UACGGGGGGAGCAAGCGUUUGUUCGGAUUUACUGGGCGUAAAGGGCGCGUAGGCGGUCGUGACAAGUCACUUGUGAAAUCUCCGGGCUUAACUCGGAACGGUCAAGUGAUACUGUCGUGCUAGAGUACAGAAGGGGCAACUGGAAUUCUCGGUGUAGCGGUGAAAUGCGUAGAUAUCGAGAGGAACACCUGCGGCGAAGGCGGGUUGCUGGGCUGAUACUGACGCUGAGGCGCGAAAGCUAGGGGAGCGAACGGG
rnacentral:rRNA from 1 species